rnacentral:rRNA from 1 species
CUACGGGCGGCUGCAGUGGGGAAUAUUGCGCAAUGGGCGAAAGCCUGACGCAGCGACGCCGCGUGGAGGAUGAAGGUCUUAGGAUUGUAAACUUCUGUUAAGUGGGAAAAAAGAGUCAUUUCUAAUACAAGUGAUUGAUGAUGGUACCACUAGAGAAAGCACCGGCUAAUCUCGUGCCAGCAGCCGCGGUAAUACGAGAGGUGCAAGCGUUAUUCGGAAUAAUUGGGUGUAAAAGGCGCGUAGACGGCGUGUUAAGUUUGUUGUUAAAUCCUCCGGCUCAACCGGAGAUAUGCGGCAAAACUGGCAUGCUAGAGGAUGGAAGAGAGAAGUGGAAUUCUUGGAGUAGCGGUAAAAUGCGUAGAUCUCAAGAGGAACACCGAUGGCGAAGGCAGCUUCUUGGUCCACUCCUGACGUUCAGGCGCGAAAGCGUGGGGAGCAAACAGGAUUAGAUACCCUCGUAGUC